GACGAACGCUGGCGGCGUGCUUAACACAUGCAAGUCGAACGAUGAAGCCGGAGCUUGCUCUGGUGAAUUAGUGGCGAACGGGUGAGUAACACGUGAGUAACCUGCCCUUGACUCUGGGAUAACUGCGGGAAACUGUAGCUAAUACCGGAUACGACCCUCGGAGGCAUCUCCUGGGGGUGGAGAGGAUUUCGGUCAAGGAUGGACUCGCGGCCUAGCAGCUAGUUGGUGAGGUAAAGGCUCACCAAGGCGACGACGGGUAGCCGGCCUGAGAGGGUGACCGGCCACACUGGGACUGAGACACGGCCCAGACUCCUACGGGAGGCAGCAGUGGGGAAUAUUGCACAAUGGGCGCAAGCCUGAUGCAGCAACGCCGCGUGAGGGAUGACGGCCUUCGGGUUGUAAACCUCUUUUAGCAGGGAAGAAGCGAAAGUGACGGUGCCUGCAGAAAAAGCACCGGCUAACUACGUGCCAGCCGCCGCCGUAA
rnacentral:rRNA from 1 species